rnacentral:lncRNA from 1 species
UCCUUAGACCUCCAAAUUCAAAGCAGAUCAAUGCCCUGUGGGUUUAAUUUUUUUAAAUCAAUUUUAUUGAGAGAUGAUGUCUAUUUAAUAAAUGUACCCUCUUUGCAUGUACAGUUCUAUGAGUUUUGGCACAUAUAUGUACCUAUGCAGCCAGUACCCUCAUCCAAAUCAGGAGCACAUCCACUCUCCUCCCAGAAAGCCCCUCAGGCCCUGCCGAGUCAGCCCCCAGCCCCCAGCAGUCGGCUUCCAUCACAUGGGCUGCUUUUUCCUGUUCCAGACAUCAUGGAUACGAAGCAGACCCUGGUUUCUUUUGCUCAGCAGUUUUGAAACUUAUUCAUGAUGUACAAUAG